rnacentral:rRNA from 1 species
GAUGAACGCUGGCGGCGUGCCUAAUACAUGCAAGUCGAGCGAACGGACGAGAAGCUUGCUUCUCUGAUGUUAGCGGCGGACGGGUGAGUAACACGUGGAUAACCUACCUAUAAGACUGGGAUAACUUCGGGAAACCGGAGCUAAUACCGGAUGAUAUUUUGAACCGCAUGGUUCAAAAGUGAAAGACGGUCUUGCUGUCACUUAUAGAUGGAUCCGCGCUGCAUUAGCUAGUUGGUAAGGUAACGGCUUACCAAGGCAACGAUGCAUAGCCGACCUGAGAGGGUGGUCGGCCACACUGGAACUGGGACACGGUCCCGACUCCUACGGGAGGCAGCAGUAGGGAAUCUUCCGCAAUGGGCGAAAGCCUGACGGAGCAACGCCGCGUGAGUGAUGAAGGUCUUCGGAUCGUAAAACUCUGUUAUUAGGGAAGAACAUAUGUGUAAGUAACUGUGCACAUCUUGACGGUACCUAAUCAGAAAGCCACGGCUAACUACGUGC